rnacentral:rRNA from 1 species
GAUGAACGCUGGCGGCGUGCCUAAUACAUGCAAGUCGAGCGAACAGACGAGGAGCUUGUUCCUCUGACGUUAGCGGCGGACGGGUGAGUAACACGUGGAUAACCUACCUAUAAGACUGGGAUAACUUCGGGAAACCGGAGCUAAUACCGGAUAAUAUAUUGAACCGCAUGGUUCAAUAGUGAAAGACGGUUUUGCUGUCACUUAUAGAUGGAUCCGCGCCGCAUUAGCUAGUUGGUAAGGUAACGGCUUACCAAGGCAACGAUGCGUAGCCGACCUGAGAGGGUGAUCGGCCACACGGGAACUGAGACAAGGUCCAGACUCCUACGGGAGGCAGCAGUAGGGAAUCUUCAGCAAUGGGCGAAAGCCUGACGGAGCAACGCCGCGUGAGUGAUGAAGGUCUUCGGAUCGUAAAACUCUGUUAUUAGGGAAGAACAAAUGUGUAAGUAACUAUGCACGUCUUGACGGUACCUAAUCAGAAAGCCACGGCUAACUACGUG